rnacentral:rRNA from 1 species
ACCAUACCAUGCUGAAUAUACCGGUUCUCGUUAGAUCACCGAAGUCAAGCAUCAUUGGGCGCGGUCAGUACUUGGGUGGGUGACCACCUAGGAACACCGCGUGCCGUU